UCUCUCCGGACAGGCAAGCAGUGCUGCCAGCUCAGCCCUGCUGCAGGCUAUGCUUCCUGCUCGCUGCAGUAACCAGACUGGCUUCUAAAGACAGCUCUGAGCAUUUCCCUACAAAGAGACCACAAACGUCAAGUAUGGAUUUCGUUUAUUUCAAAAUGUUUGAGCCACUCUGAAUCUUGUUAAGGAAUGCUCCGCCCAUAAGAAGAUGCCACACUUAAACAAACGAUCCCACGCUCAGCUCGAUAACCUGUGCAACUGGGACAUAUAAAUCAAGCAACAUGAACAUCUAUAUUCAUCAUCGUAUGUAUAUUACAUUUUGUGGAGUAUUCAUUGGAAAUGGAUGGUGGUGGAGAAGACAUCCAGACAGUACAGAUUUCUCCAAAAUGUCCUUCUAUGCAUAUCCCAUUAUGCCAUAUCAGAUAUAAAAGAGAGAAUCGAGCAGAGGAGAAGAAACUCAUACCAUCAAGAAACA